rnacentral:lncRNA from 1 species
UUCCUGUUGUUAGAAACAUGUAGCUCAAUGUGUAUAAUGGCUGGUCAUAAUUGGCAGCAGUCUUUUGUAAGAAUGUUCACUUAGUCCGCUUCCAAUCAAAAGAUAAAUAAAUUCCAGUUCAUCUGUAUAAUGAUUAUACAAUGUCAGCUAGUUAUGUACUUGCACAGAAAUAUUCUUGUUGGUAGGUAUCUACAAUAGUU